UACGAAGGGGGCGAGCGUUGUUCGGAUUUACUGGGCGUAAAGGGCGCGUAGGCGGCCCUGUUUGUCGCGUGUGAAAGCCCCGGGCUCAACCUGGGAAUGGCGAUGGAGACUGCAAGGCUAGAAUCUGGCAGAGGGGGGUAGAAUUCCACGUGUAGCAGUGAAAUGCGUAGAGAUGUGGAGGAACACCGAUGGCGAAGGCAGCCCCCUGGGUCGAGAUUGACGCUCAUGCACGAAAGCGUGGGGAGCAAACAGG
rnacentral:rRNA from 1 species